UACGUAGGGUGCGAGCGCUAAUCGGAAUUACUGGGCGUAAAGCGUGCGCAGGCGGCUUGCUAAGACAGGUGUGAAAGCCCCGAGCUUAACUUGGGAAUGGCGCUUGUGACUGGCAAGCUGGAGUGUGGCAGAGGGAGGUGGAAUUCCACGUGUAGCAGUGAAAUGCGUAGAGAUGUGGAGGAACACCGAUGGCGAAGGCAGCCUCCUGGGCCAACACUGACGCUCAUGCACGAAAGCGUGGGGAGCAAACAGG
rnacentral:rRNA from 1 species